UGUUAAUGCUGAAUGUAGCUGGCUGACUCCUUAACCGUCUUGUAACAGGAGUGCAUCAAACCUGCGGGGCGUGAAACUGAGAUACUUCAAGUACAAAGGUAAUGGUAUUUCUUCCUGCGUGUAGAAAUCCAGGCCUAACUCAGAUCCUACCUAUGUUUGCAGACCCGUUCCUGGCUUCCAUCUGAAAGUGCAGUGGAGGCUUUGCAGCCGUGUUCCUUUACUACGGUAUGGAAUACUCUCCUCGCCCAGAAAUUCCUUGCCUUCCAUUGAGAUUCAACAGAACCAGGAAGCGUCCACAGAAGCUGAGGUGAAGUUCAGCAGCUGACAUCUGCAACAAUUUGACUGUCUCUACAAGAUCAAAAGCGAGACGACUUGCUAACUGGUCUCAGGAGCCAGCAGCAGAACAGGAGAUGGCACAGAGAAAUGAUUACCAAAAAAGUCAUGCAUUUAAGUGAUCUAGCAGUGCUUCAUUGCUCUUGAGGACUAGAACUGCUAAAAUGGGAUUUUGCCAGAAACAGAGCAAGAAGUAUUUUGGGUGUAAUAAAACUCCACUUGCAUUUGUUAUCAAAAAACAGAUAAA